rnacentral:rRNA from 1 species
UACGUAGGGGGCGAGCGUUAUCCGGAUUUAUUGGGCGUAAAGCGCGCGUAGGCGGUCCUCAGCAGUGGCCCGUGGAAUCUCUGCGCUUACCGCAGAGGGGCCGGGCCAAACGGGAGGACUAGGGGCAGGCAGAAGGUCGUGGAACGGGCGGAGUAGGGGUGAAAUCCGUAGAGACCGUCCGGAACACCAGUGGCGAAGGCGGCUUCCUGGCCUUUGACUGACGCUGAGGCGCGAAAGCUAGGGGAGCAAACGGG